rnacentral:rRNA from 1 species
AAAGAAUUAAAUAAUUAUAAAAGUUAUUGUAUCAAAACUAUUUUAAAUAAUUAUUUUGAAAUGAAAUGUUAUUCGUUUUUAAAGAUAUCUAGUUUUUUUAAAAAAAAAUUUAAUUUUAAAUUUAUAAUUAAAAUAAUAAUUAAUUUAUUAAUUUUAUUUUUAAUUAAAUUUUAUAUUUUAAGGGAUAAGCUUUAAAUUAAAUUUUUAUAAUUAUUGAUUUGAAUUUUAAAAAUUUUAUAAUUUAUAUUGUUAAUAAAUUUUAAUUUAUUAUAAAUAAUUUUAUUAAAUUGAAAAUUAAAUUAAUUUUAAUUUUUUAUAAAAAAAUUUUUUUUAAUUUUAUAAAAUUAGUAAUAAUGAUAAAAUUAGUAUAUUAUUUAAAAUUAGUUAAUUAAAAGUUUAAAUUAAAUAAUUUAAUUAAUUAAAAAGAAUUCGGCAAAUAUUUAUAUUCACUUGUUUAACAAAAACAUGUCUUUUAGAAAUUAAUUUAAAGUCUAAUCUGCCCACUGAUAAUAAUUAAAGGGCUGCAGUAUUUUGACUGUACAAAGGUAGCAUAAUCAUUAGUCUCUUAAUUGGUGACUUGUAUGAAAGAUUGGAUGAAAUAUAUACUGUUUCUUAAUUAAUAUGUAGAAUUUAAUUUUUUUAUUAAAAAGUAAAAAUAAUUUAAAAAGACGAGAAGACCCUAUAGAGUUUUAUAAAUAAAUUUAUUAAAUAAUUAUUUGUAUAAAUAAAAUUUUUAUUGGUUUAUUUAUUUUGUUGGGGUGAUAAAAAAAUAAAUUUAACUUUUUUUAAAUAUAUUACAAAAAUAAUUGAAUAAUUGAUCCAAUUUUAUUGAUUAUAAGAUUAAAUUACCUUAGGGAUAACAGCGUAAUUUUUUUUUUUAGUUCAAAUAAGAAAAAGAGUUUGCGACCUCGAUGUUGGAUUAAGAUAAAAUUUAAAUGCAAAAGUUUAAAAUUUUUG